CCUACGGGAGGCAGCAGUGAGGAAUAUUGGUCAAUGGACGAGAGUCUGAACCAGCCAAGUAGCGUGAAGGAUGACUGCCCUAUGGGUUGUAAACUUCUUUUAUAUGGGAAUAAAAUGUUCCACGUUGGGGAUUUUGUAUGUACCAUAUGAAUAAGGAUCGGCUAACUCCGUGCCAGCAGCCGCGGUAAUACGGAGGAUCCGAGCGUUAUCCGGAUUGAUUGGGUUUAAAGGGAGCGUAGGUGGAUUGUUAAGUCAGUUGUGAAAGUUUGCGGCUCAACCGUAAAAUUGCAGUUGAAACUGGCAGUCUUGAGUACAGUAGAGGUGGGCGGAAUUCGUGGUGUAGCGGUGAAAUGCUUAGAUAUCACGAAGAACUCCGAUUGCGAAGGCAGCUCACUGGACUGCAACUGACACUGAGGCUCGAAAGUGUGGGUAUCAAACAGGAUUAGAUACCCCAGUAGUC
rnacentral:rRNA from 1 species